rnacentral:lncRNA from 1 species
GCCAAAACUCUGUCAAUUUGAUUCUACAAAGCACACUGAAUUUCUGCACUGAUUUGAUACAUCUUAGAAAUUCAUAGUCUAGAGUCUUUACUGUAUUGUUUUGUGAACACCACUGAUUGUAUAUCAAGUGUUCAACUCAAACUCAAUUCUCUGUAUUUUUGUUUGAUUAGAAGUCUCUUGCCUGCGUGCUUGAACAUUAGAAGUCUCUUGCUUAGUGCUUGAGCAUUGGAAGACUCUUGCGUGUGUGCUUGAGCAUUUUUGUGAAGUCUCAUACUUAGAAAGUAUUGAGCAGUUGUAAUCUUUGUGAUUAUAGUGAAAUCUCCUUGGAAGUGCAAGGGGGACUGGACUACUUCCGUGUUGUGGAAGGAACCAGGAUAACUGUUUGUGUCUUUGUCUUUCUUUUC